rnacentral:rRNA from 1 species
GUGAGGAAUAUUGGUCAAUGGGCGGAAGCCUGAACCAGCCAAGUAGCGUGCAGGACGACGGCCCUAUGGGUUGUAAACUGCUUUUGUGCGGGGAUAAUGGUCGCCACGUGUGGCGUUUUGCAGGUACCGUACGAAUAAGGACCGGCUAAUUCCGUGCCAGCAGCCGCGGUAAUACGGAAGGUCCAGGCGUUAUCCGGAUUUAUUGGGUUUAAAGGGAGCGUAGGCCGCGGGUUAAGUGUGUUGUGAAAUGUAGACGCUCAACGUCUGAGUUGCAGCGCAUACUGGCCUGCUUGAGUACGCACAACGUUGGCGGAAUUCGUCGUGUAGCGGUGAAAUGCUUAGAUAUGACGAAGAACUCCGAUUGCGAAGGCAGCUGACGGGAGCGGGACUGACGCUGAUGCUCGAAAGUGCGGGUAUCGAACAGGAUUAGAUACCCGAGUAGUCC